AAUGAACGUUGGCGGCGUGGAUUAGGCAUGCAAGUCGAACGCUCCGCAAGGGGCGUGGCGCAAGGGUGAGUAAGGCGACGGCAACCAACCCCAGGGCCGGGCAUAGCUAAGGGAAACCUUGGGUAAUUCCCGGCGAAGUGUGCGGCCGGCCUCGGCCAGACACUAAAGGUGUGAUUCCGCCCUGGGACGGCCGUCGUGGUAUCAGGUUGUUGGCGGGGUAGCGGCCCACCAAGCCAUUGACGCCUACCGGGCGUGCGAGCGUGGCCCCGGCACACUGGGACUGAGACACUGCCCCAGACUCCUACGGGAGGCUGCAGUCGAGAAUCUUCGGCAAUGGGCGCAAGCCUGACCGAGCGACGCCGCGUGGAGGAUGAA
rnacentral:rRNA from 1 species